GGAGGAAAAGAAACCAACAGGGAUUGCCUCAGUAACGGCGAGUGAAGCGGCAACAGCUCAAAUUUGAAAUCUGGCCUCACGGUCCGAGUUGUAAUUUGUAGAGGAUGCUUCGAACGCGGUCCGGUCUAAGUUCCUUGGAACAGGACGUCAUAGAGGGUGAGAAUCCCGUAUGUGACCGGGUGCCUAAGUUCAUGUGAAGCUCCUUCGACGAGUCGAGUUGUUUGGGAAUGCAGCUCAAAAUGGGUGGUAAAUUUCAUCUAAAGCUAAAUAUUGGCCAGAGACCGAUAGCGCACAAGUAGAGUGAUCGAAAGAUGAAAAGCACUUUGGAAAGAGAGUUAAACAGUACGUGAAAUUGUUGAAAGGGAAGCGCUUGCAACCAGACUUGCACGCAGUCGAUCAUCCGGUGUUCUCACCGGUGCACUCGAUUGCGUUCAGGCCAGCAUCGGUUUUGGUGGUUGGAUAAAGGCCUUGGGAAUGUAGCUCCUCUCGGGGAGUGUUAUAGCCCUCGGUGCAAUGCAGCCUACCGGGACCGAGGACCGCGCUUCGGCUAGGAUGCUGGCGUAAUGGUUGUAAGCGAC
rnacentral:rRNA from 1 species